rnacentral:rRNA from 1 species
GGGCCCGCACAAGCGGAGGAGCAUGUGGUUUAAUUCGAUGAUACGCGAGGAACCUUACCAAGGCUUAAAUGGGAGACGACAGAUUUGGAAACAGAUCUUUCUUCGGACGUCUUUCAAGGUGCUGCAUGGUUGUCGUCAGCUCGUGCCGUGAGGUGUCAGGUUAAGUCCUAUAACGAGCGCAACCCCUGUUGUUAGUUGCCAGCGAGUCAUGUCGGGAACUCUAGCAAGACUGCCAGUGCAAACUGUGAGGAAGGUGGGGAUGACGUCAAAUCAUCACGGCCCUUACGCCUUGGGCUACACACGUGCUACAAUGGACGGUACAGAGAGCAGCCACUACGCAAGUAGGAGCGAAUCUACAAAACCGUUCUCAGUUCGGAUCGGAGUCUGCAACUCGACUCCGUGAAGCUGGAUUCGCUAGUAAUCGCAGAUCAGCCAUGCUGCGGUGAAUACGUUCCCGGGCCUU